UAGAACUUAAUUUAGUGCCAGAUCUGGACAUACAUUCCAACAUUGUCUGUAGUAUUGUCUGUCUUAUCUAAUGAUUUUAGUUCCUUUUCUAUAGGCUAUCUCAGAAGGAAAAUAAGAAUGGAUAUUUAGGCUUAUAAAUUCCACAGAAAAUAGGUAUAUAAAUUUCAGGCUAACUUAAAACCACUAUGUCCUUCUGGAUUUUAUCAUUUAAAUGCCUUCAUAGAAACAUUGUUCUGAAUUACCUAGUUUGGAAAUAUAUGGAAAUAUUGAAGUAAUUAUAUAAAAAUUCAUUUGGAUUAUUUUUAAAAUAGCAAAACACUGGAGGUAAAGAAUGUUGGAAACUAUUAAGAAUACUGAAUAAAAAUUUUGAAACAAGGAUUUAUGUUUUGUAGUCCAGAAUGACCUUGACUUUGUUAUAAUUUGUUUUGUUUUGAAAUAGUGUUUGUCUAUGUGGCCAUGGGUCUUCUGGAAGUCAUUCUGUAGGCCAGAGAUCUACCUCCCUCUGCCUCAUACUACAGAAAUUAAAGGCAUCUGCCAGGCUGAUCUUGAGUUCCUCCUGUCUUCAACAUACUGUAAUUGAUGUCCUAGACUACUUCACUCACAGUCUGGAAGACUUUGUUCACAGCCCUGCACUGUUCAAAAUCUGCACACUUGGAGAAGACAGUGCAGUGGAAGUUCUAGGGUAAUAUUAUGGUAGACUAAUAAACUUUACUGGAGAUGACUUUCAGUUUUACUCUUCUUUAGAAAAUUGUAUAAAGAGUUUUAAACUAUUCAUUCCGCAAACAUUAGGUAAGUUUUUAUGGGAUACAAUUUUAUUUAUUAGAUUGUAUAAUUGCAUAUAAUAACAAUGAUUUUUUUUUACACUUUUGUCCAAUUGGUAAGUUUUAUAAAAAUCCAUUUUGGACUAGCAUUUUCAUUUCAGGGAGGUUUUUAUAAAGUGAUCAAAUUACUUUAAAAACAAUUAUAGGAUCCCUGAGAUCUAUUUUCUAUGCCAGUUUCUGUGUUUUAAAUAUGAAUUUUCUUUAUAUAUUUAAGUGAACUAAACAUUCCUAAGAACCCUUUUCUUCUGUUUAUACCAUAUGAACUUAUUUUUCUUUCAAUAUUCAUGUGAAUCUUUUCUCCUUAAUUUGUCGUGAUUUUGACUAGAUCACUAGACUGUUCACGGACUCCAUGCAUCUGAUAUUUUAACUUCAUCUUCAUUCUGUAAUUCUGUAAUUAUAGAAGGAUUCUAUAAUUAAAGCAAUGUCUGGUUUAAUCUGUAACUUUUUUAAAUUCCUAUGUUUUUAUUUAGCCUACUUUAUCAUGUCUAUUUGGUUAUUGUUUUAGACCUUUGUGUUUCACUGUAAAUAUUUUCAUUUAUGCAUUUUCUUCUAACACUUAAGAAGCAUGCAAAUAAAGAUGACCUUUCCAAUUGUUUAAGUUUCCCAUUACAAUUGCAUUUCAUAUUAAUUUUAAUAUAUAAUUAUAUCUUUAAAUUUAAAUAGGUACUGCAUGUGGUGUUGAUCAUAGAUUUUAAGGAAAAAAUAUGC